UUGUAGGGAACUGAAAGGGACCGACCCUUCGGGAGCCUAUACAGGUGUUGCAUUGGCUGUCGUCAGCUCGUGUCGUGAGAUGUUCGGUUAAGUCCGCUAACGAGCGCAACCCUCGUCGUAUGUUAUAUGUGUCAUACGAGACUGCCGGUAAAAAGCCGGAGGAAGGUGAGGAUGAUGUCAAGUCAGCAUGACCUUUAUAUCCAGGGCUACACACACGCUACAAUGGUCUGUACAAUGGGUAGCCAAGCCGCGAGGCGGAGCCAAUCCUGAAAGCAGGCCUCAGUUCAGAUUGCAGUCUGCAACUCGACUGCAUGAAGCCGGAGUUGCUAGUAACCGCAGGUCAGCAAUACUGCGGUGAAUACGUUCCCGGGUCUU
rnacentral:rRNA from 1 species